rnacentral:rRNA from 1 species
UAUCAGUCAUGCAUAGCAUAUCAAUAAGCGGAGGAAAAGAAACUAACAAGGAUUCCCUUAGUAACGGCGAGUGAAGCGGGAAGAGCUCAAAUUUGAAAUCUUCAAGGUUUUACCUUGACGAAUUGUAGUUUAAAGAAGUGUUUUCUGUUGAAGUUUUGGUAAAAGUUCUUUGGAAUAGGACAUCAUAGAGGGUGAGAAUCCCGUAUUUGACCAUUACUUUCAGCUUUGUGAUACACUUUCAAAGAGUCGGAUUGUUUGGGAAUGCAGUCCAAAAUGGGUGGUAAAUUUCAUCUAAAGCUAAAUAUUGGCGAGAGACCGAUAGCGAACAAGUACCGUGAGGGAAAGAUGAAAAGAACUUUGAAAAGAGAGUUAAACAGUACGUGAAAUUGUCAAAAGGGAAGCGUUUGACACCAGUGUUGUUUUCUCGAAAAUCAAUUAAAAAGAGUUGGAUUUUGUGUUGUAUCGACUUUAUCAGCUUUCUUCACUCUUUUCCAGCUUUUUUUAAUGCACUUUUCGUUUAACAAGUCAACAUCAGUUUCUUUUGUUGUAAAAAGGUCAUUGGAAGGUGGCUUUCUCUUCGGAGAAAGUGUUUAUAGCCUUUGACUCAUGCAAUCGGAGAGACUGAGGUCUGCAGCGUAGAUCCUUCGGGGUUAGAUACAUUUGUGCUAAGUUAUAGCUUUUCAUAGACAACUUGUUGACUAUGUUUAGUCUUGUAGCUUACUCGCUUAUGCUAUUUUACCUACGCUUAGGAUGUUGAACUCUAUCACACACAG